UGGGGUGUAGCUCAGUGGUAGAGUGCUUGCCUGUCUGCCUGUCGUUCGCAAGGCCCUGGGUUCAAUCCCCAGCACUGAAA
rnacentral:tRNA from 1 species